CAGCCAUUGUAAAUAAGUCUCAAC
rnacentral:siRNA from 1 species